rnacentral:misc_RNA from 1 species
GAUGAAGAACGCAGCGAAAUGCGAAAAGUAAUGUGAAUUGCAGAAUUCAGUGAAUCAUCGAAUCUUUGAACGCACAUUGCGCCCGCCAGUAUUCUGGCGGGCAUGCCUGUCUGAGCGUCAUUUCAACCCUCACGCCCCUAGGGCGUGGUGUUGGGGAUCGGCCAGCGCCCUCGCGGGCGAGGCCGUCCCCUAAAUCUAGUGGCGGACCCGUCGUGGCCUCCCCUGCGAAGUAGUGAUAUUCCGCAUAGGAGAGCGACGAGCCCCUGCCGUUAAACCCCCAACUUUCUCAGGUUGACCUCAGAUCAGGUAGGAAUACUCGCUGAACUUAAGCAUAUCAAUAAGCGGAGGA